rnacentral:misc_RNA from 1 species
UGCUCGGUGGACGCGGAUCAAGCCGGUGAUCGUUAAUAUUGCCAUUUGGUGUUUUAUUUACUUAUUGCCUAUUUAUCUGUGUAAUGAUGGCUGAGACGGACGUUCAGAUGCCGCAAGAGAAUGCUAACGGAGAUCAUGGAGGUUCCCCAGCGCGUGGACGCGGCCGGGGACGAGGUCGCGGCCGUGGUGAAUUUAGGGGAGGACGUGGAGGAGGCGGUGAAUUUAGGGGAGGCCGCGGAGGAGGCGGUGAUUUCAGGGGAGGACGCGGAGGAGGUGGUGAUUUCAGGGGAGGCCGUGGAGGCGGAGAAUUCCGCGGCGGACGCGGUGGAGGGGAGCACCGCGGAGGACGAGGUGGAGGCGGAGAGUUCAGAGGACGAGGAGGAUUCCGUGGUGGCCGCGGAGGUGGCCCCAGGAACCCUGAGGAGCGUAUGAUGGAGAAGCUGCAGGCCAUCGCCGGUCCGACGUAUGACCUGCCUGUGGCCGAGAAGGAGAAGAAGAAGUUCACCAACAAAUGCCGCCUGUUUGUCGGCAACCUUACCGACGACACCACCAUGGACGAGUUCCAGGAGAUGUUCAAGGUCUUCGGAGAGAUCGCCGAGCCCUACCUCAACCUGGAGAAGGCGUUUGGAUUCGUCAAGCUGGACUACCGUGAGAACGCGGAGAAGGCGCGCCAGGCCCUGAACGGCACCAUGCGUAACGGCCGGCUGCUCAAGGUGCGCUUCUCCUCGAUGGGCAGCAGCCUCAAGGUGAAGCGGCUUUCACCCUGGGUCAGCAACGAGCUGCUCGAGCUGGCCUUCUCCGUGUUCGGCGAGCUGGAGCGCGUCACUGUUAUCGUGGACGAGCGCGGAAAAUCGACCGGUGAGGGAAUCAUCGAGUUCGCCAAGAAGCCGUGCGCUCAGGCGUGCCUCAGCAAGUGCACAGAAAACAGCUUCUUCAUCACUGAGAGUUUGUGCCCUAUCGAAGUGGAGACUCUGAAGGAAGAGGAGGAGGAGGAGGGACUCAGUGAGAAGGUCCUGCCCAAGAAGUACCACGACUACCGGCGUGAGCGCUCUGUGGGCCCGCGGUUCGGCCAGGAGGGCUCGUUCGAGGCCGAGUACGGCGCUCGCUGGAAGCAGCUGUACGAGAUGGAGAAGCAGCGCCGCGAACAGCUCGACCAGGAGAUCAAGCUGGAGAUGGAGAAGCUGCGCGACCAGAUGGAGUUUGCGCGCCGCCAGCACGAGACGGAGAUAUUGCGCGAGCAGCUGCGCCGCAGGGAGAUGGAGCAGGAGCGCACCAAGAGUGACUGGGACGCGCGCCAGGCGCAGCGCGAGCAGGAGCGUCGCCGCAUGGAGGAGGAGAUGCAGCGCCGCCAGGAGUCGAUGCAGGCGCGCAUGCGCCAGUCCGAGGACGACCUGAAGCGCCGCCAGCAGGAGAACAAACUCUUCAUGCAGGCGAACGAGCUGAAUAGUCUGCUGGACCAGUCGGAGCAGGCCAUGUGGGGCGACCAGCGCGCGCCACCGGCCGCCGGCGGUGACCAGGUGCCGCCCGCCGCCGGCGGCUACGGCCAGGCGCCGCCCGGAUGGGGCACCCCGCCCGCCGGAGCGCCCGGAGGCUUCGACGCGCACGGUGGCGGUCUCGGUCGCGGCGGAGGUCGCGGAGGCGGUCAGCUGGUGGGUGUCGGCUGAGCCGGGCUCGGUCGAUGUCCUGACCCGACCUGACCUGAGCUGAGCACUGCUGCGGCUGCCGCGCGCCGUACCGCUGCCACGGGGCAGCUCUGAGCUGCCAGUCGGAGUCCGAGGGACGCUGCUGAGAACGGCUCCGUCGAACAACGCUACCACCCAGGCGGAGACCACCGAUCCCGCCUCAACCAGCCGUGUGAGAAGAGGUGUCUGUUCACACCACAGUCACACAGAGUGAAACGAGUCGACAUUUGUACCGGUCUGCGUUCGCAGUCCAAAUAUAUGCCGAAAUCA